UUCCGGUUGAUCCUGCCGGAGGCUACUGCUAUCGGGGUUCGAUUAAGCCAUGCGAGUUAAAUGUUCUUCGUGAACAUAGCGAACUGCUCAGUAACACGUGGAUAACCUACCCUUAGGACCGGAAUAACCCCGGGAAACUGGGGAUAAUACCGGAUAAGCCAUAGACGCUGGAAUGCCCUAUGGUUCAAAGCUCCGGCGCCUAAGGAUGGAUCUGCGGUCUAUCAGGUUGUAGUGGGUGUAACGUACCUACUAGCCGACGACGGAUACGGGUUGUGAGAGCAAGAGCCCGGAGAUGGAUUCUGAGACACGAAUCCAGGCCCUACGGGGUGCAGCAGGCGCGAACACUUUACAAUGCGGGAAACCGCGAUAAGGGAACCCCGAGUGCCAGCAUCAAAUGUUGGCUGUCCAGAUGGUUAAAAAUCAUUUGUUAGCAAGGGCCGGGCAAGACCGGUGCCAGCCGCCGCGGUAACACCGGCGGCCCGAGUGGUAGCCGUUUUUAUUGGGUCUAAAGAGUCCGUAGCCGGCCUGAUAAGUCCUUUGGGAAAUCUGACAGCUUAACUGUCAGGCUUCUAAGGGAUACUGUCAGGCUUGGGACCGGAAGAGGUAAGGGGUACUCCAGGGGUAGGAGUGAAAUCUUGUAAUCCCUGGGGGACCAUCUGUGGCGAAGGCGCCUUACCAGAACGGGUCCGACGGUGAGGGACGAAAGCUAGGGGAGCAAACCGGAUUAGAUACCCGGGUAGUCCUAGCUGUAAACGAUGCUCGCUAGGUGUCAGACACGGUGCGACCGUGUUUGGUGCCGCAGGGAAGCCGUUAAGCGAGCCACCUGGGAAGUACGGUCGCAAGGCUGAAACUUAAAGG
rnacentral:rRNA from 1 species